GACGAACGCUGGCGGCGUGCUUAACACAUGCAAGUCGAACGGAAAGGCCCUGCUUUUGUGGGGUGCUCGAGUGGCGAACGGGUGAGUAACACGUGAGUAACCUGCCCUUGACUUUGGGAUAACUUCAGGAAACUGGGGCUAAUACCGGAUAGGAGCUCCUGCUGCAUGGUGGGGGUUGGAAAGUUUCGGCGGUUGGGGAUGGACUCGCGGCUUAUCAGCUUGUUGGUGGGGUAGUGGCUUACCAAGGCUUUGACGGGUAGCCGGCCUGAGAGGGUGACCGGCCACAUUGGGACUGAGAUACGGCCCAGACUCCUACGGGAGGCAGCAGUGGGGAAUAUUGCACAAUGGGCGGAAGCCUGAUGCAGCUACGCCGCGUGCGGGAUGACGGCCUUCGGGUUGUUAACCGCUUUCGCCUGUGACGAAGCGUGAGUGACGGUAAUGGGUAAAGAAGCACCGGCUAACUACGUG
rnacentral:rRNA from 1 species